GCGGGGUAUUUUUAUUAAACCAAAAAGAUUUUUCUUCUUUUUUUUUUUUUGUAGGAAAAAUAUUUUUCUCUUAAAAUGGAUCAUAAUUACAAUUUCUCCAUCCACAUUUUUACUUAUGGAUACCCUUGAACAUAUCUUACACAUUAUAUUAUAAUUGAAAAGACCAAUAAAAAGUUAAAUGUAUAUAUUUAUGAUAAAAUAAAGUAUGUACAUCUAACAAUAUGUUUGUCCAUUUUUUUAUAAUUAAGCACAACUAUGCAUAGUUAAAUUUCAAGUCUUUAUAAUUGUAAUUGAUUAGAAUAAUACAGUAAUUACUGAAUACAUGUUUAAUAUAUAUUAUGUUAAAUAAAUUAUUUAUUGCUUCUUAUCAGAUUAUAAAAGUUCUACAACUUUUUGUAUGCAAACAAAAUUUACAAUAUAUUUCAAAUCUAUUUAAAUGUUACUCUAGCUGACCCCAUAUGACAUUCCUCAUAACAAAUUAAAUACCCAGUUUUAAACCAUUUAAAAAGAAAAUUUUUAUUAUUCCACCAACCUUAAAAAGUUUACUGGAGGAGGUAUUUCUAGAAAAAAUAUAACAUUCAUACCUGGCAAUUUAUUUUCCACCAAAGUAAAUGAUAAUUAAGUUACUUUCUAUCUAUGUAACCAAGGAAACCCAUGCAAUUUUAAUAAUUUUUAUAUUUUAAGGUCAAAAUUCAUGUGUCAACAUCCCUAUUGUAAUUAAAUUUUGAAAAAUUCCUUCUGUCUGUGCAUAAUAAUAUGAAACUACUAAAUAAAUUGUAUAAACACAGUUUCAGUAAUUUCGGCUCGGGAAUGAUAAAUCAGUCAAAACAUGUUAUUUUAUAUAGUAUAUAGAUGAAUAGUUUAAAGCAUAAUGAAAAUUAAAAUAUUUUUAAAUUAAAUACAUUAACAGUUGUAUGGAAAUUUACUAGAAUUAAUAUUUUAUUCAAAGAAAAGUAAUAUAAAUUUAAAGUUAAACAACAAUAGAG